GUCGAGUGGGUAAAGAGGAGCUUGCUCUUGCUGACGACCGGCGCACGGGUGCCUUAAAAGUAUACAAUCUGUCUUACACUAAGGGAUAGCCCAGACCUUUAAGAUUAACACCUUAUUGUUUAUUUUUAUGGCAUCAUUUAAAUAAUAAAGUUUACGGUGUAAGAUGAGUAUGCUCUCCAAAAGUUUGUUGGUAAGGUAACGGCUUACCAAGACUACGAUGGGUAGGGGCCCUGAGAGGGGGAUCCCCCACACUGGUACUGAGACACGGACCAGACUCCUACGGGAGGCAGCAGUGAGGAAUAUUGGACAAUGGAGGAGACUCUGAUCCAGCCAUGCCGCGUGCAGGAAGACGGUCCUAUGGAUUGUAAACUGCUUUUAUACAGGAAGAAUAAGGACUACGUGUAGUCUGGUGACGGUACUGUAAGAAUAAGGACCGGCUAACUCCGUGCCAGCAGCCGCGGUAAUACGGAGGGUCCGAGCGUUAUCCGGAAUUAUUGGGUUUAAAGGGUCCGUAGGCGGGCUGUUAAGUCAGGGGUGAAAGUUUGCAGCUCAACUGUAGAAUUGCCUUUGAUACUGAUGGUCUUGAAUUAUUGUGAAGUGGUUAGAAUAUGUAGUGUAGCGGUGAAAUGCAUAGAUAUUACAUAGAAUACCGAUUGCGAAGGCAGAUCACUAACAAUUGAUUGACGCUGAUGGACGAAAGCGUGGGUAGCGAACAGGAUUAGAUACCCUGGUAGUCCACGCCGUAAACGAUGGAUACUAGCUGUUUGGAUUUCGAUCUGAGCGGCCAAGCGAAAGUGAUAAGUAUCCAACCCUGGCGGAGUACGUUCUUCAAGAAUGAAAAAUCAAAAGGAAUAUGAAGGGAGGG
rnacentral:rRNA from 1 species